UACGUAGGGUGCGAGCGUUAAUCGGAAUUACUGGGCGUAAAGCGUGCGCAGGCGGCUUUGCAAGACAGAUGUGAAAUCCCCGGGCUCAACCUGGGAACUGCAUGUGUGACUGCAAGGCUAGAGUACGGCAGCGGGGGAUGGAAUGCCGCGUGUAGCAGUGAAAUGCGUAGAUAUGCGGAGGAACACCAAUGGCGAAGGCAAUCCCCUGGGCCUGUACUGACGCUCAUGCACGAAAGCGUGGGGAGCAAACAGG
rnacentral:rRNA from 1 species